CUGUGCAAUUCGGGUGAGUUCCUUCACCCUUCUGAGCCAUCCCUUGGCUCGUCUGGAAAAUGCAAAAAAAAAAAAAAGAAAAACACCAGGUUUUUGCAUCCUCCUGGAUGAGGGAUAUAAAGUGCCUGACACAGCAUAUGACAGGGAUUUGAUAAAUGGGGGCUGUUAGCUGUCCCAUUGUGGAUGUGAGAAUAGCAUUCUGCUGGCUAAAAGGCAGACAUGAAUGUUCUAGAACAUGGCGAUCCCGGAAUGUGCAGUGAAGGCAGGAAGAGGAAGAAUGGGCAGGGAAGAACAAGUUGGGAUGGAGGAAUGAACUCUUAUCUCCAGAAGCAGAGCUAAGAAUGCCCACGGAGCCUUGGCACAUGACAGCCUCCGCUGAGCCAAAUGGCCCAAAGACUUCUGAAUGAGCUUUUGCUGCAACAAAAAACUUUGGAUCAUUUUGAGAGCCUCCCGUGAGGCGCCAAUAUGUUGCAGUACCUUCCCGGCCCCGACACUGAUGUGAUUCAUCGUAGGUAACAUAUGAAUACGCUCAAGCUGGCCAGCAGCUUGAAAAAUUGGAGUCUAUCAAAUUGACCUUGAGAAACACAGGAAGGUAAUAUUUAGUGACAUACCAGAUGAAAUCCUUGCGCAGAGAUGUGAGGUGAGGAAGGACCUGAAGGGAAGUAGACCAGCAAAUAUCAAGGGUCAAGGAGUUGGGGGAUGAUAUAGAGACGAAGCCUAACAGAUGUCACCAGAGCAAGAAGGCCUUACGACUUCACAUCCUCUCUGCAGGGUAUGAAUGGUGCAAUGGAAUGAAAUGGUAACUACAGCUUCUGGUGCAAAAUUUGAGUUUCCAUAAUCAUCAUCUUGGGAAAAUGAGGAACACAAUAUAAUGGCAUACAGAGAGAACAAGUGAAAAGAUGAGAGAUGAUGAACAGGUUGAGUUUCUUCAGCCUACAACCUAUCAAAUCUAAUUUUAAACAUCUGGAGCCACGUGUAUUAGUUUUGUUUCUGUUCCAUUUUCCUUUUUCUGUGUCCCCGACGGUGAAUGAUUCUGAAUAAUUCUUAGUCUGGGAUCACUGGUCUAUCUCAAGGUACUACAUGUUAGAGUAAAACUAUAAAACAGCAAAUUCUAUCAUCGGAAAUUGACUCACAGGGACCCAAUUAAGGCUCAAAAUAUAAGAAAGAAAGACUGAACAGUGGGUCUUUGACAUCAUCCAUCCAACCUUUUUCCUUAAAGAUGAGGAAACAGGCUCCAAAUAGAUCCAGAGGCUUACCCAAGGUCUCAUCGCUAAUUGGGGCAGGUCCAGGAAUUUCUGCUCUAAGCAUCAAACAAUAAUUAAAAUAGGAUAAAUGCAGAUGAAUGUGUUCUCAUAUAUAUUGUGUUCUCAGAAAAGAAGAGGAUAAAUUUAAUGAUGCAAAAACAGUUGUGCUACAGCAUUAUCUUCCAAGACUGGUUUAAACAUGAAUGUCACUGUACAAUCAGGUUACCAUAGUGUCACUAGCGUCCCUGGAAUUUUACCUUUCUAGUUUCAAAUAUUACAUCAAAUAGGCAGAGUUUUACAAUUUUGACACGCCCUCCUGCUAGUCCCAAGAACACUGCAAGCCCUCAGCAGUUGUCUGUCUACACUGUCAGUGGGAAUGGAAAUUGGAGCAACAAGAUAAGAAAUGACUCGGGAGGUCGGGCACGGUGGCUCAUGCCUGUAAUCCCAGCACUUUGGGAGGCCUAGGUGUGUAGAUCAUGAGAUCAGGAGGUCGAGACUAUCCCGGCCAACAUGGUGAAACUCCGUCUGUAUUAAAAAUACAAAAAUUAGCUGGG
rnacentral:lncRNA from 10 species